rnacentral:rRNA from 1 species
GACGAACGCUGGCGGCGUGCUUAACACAUGCAAGUCGAACGGAAAGGCCCUGCUUUUGUGGGGUGCUCGAGUGGCGAACGGGUGAGUAACACGUGAGUAACCUGCCCUUGACUUUGAGAUAACUUCAGGAAACUGGGGCUAAUACCGGAUAGGAGCUCCUGCUGCAUGGUGGGGGUUGGAAAGUUUCGGCGGUUGGGGAUGGACUCGCGGCUUAUCAGCUUGUUGGUGGGGUAGUGGCUUACCAAGGCUUUGACGGGUAGCCGGCCUGAGAGGGUGACCGGCCACAUUGGGACUGAGAUACGGCCCAGACUCCUACGGGAGGCAGCAGUGGGGAAUAUUGCACAAUGGGCGGAAGCCUGAUGCAGCAACGCCGCGGGCGGGAUGACGGCCUUCGGGUUGUAAACCGCUUUCGCCUGUGACGAAGCGUGAGUGACGGUAAUGGGUAAAGAAGCACCGGCUAACUACGUG